rnacentral:rRNA from 1 species
AUUAAUACCCCAUAAUAUAUAGAGUGGCAUCACUUUAUAUUGAAAACUGAGGUGGAUAAAGAUGGGCACGCGCAAGAUUAGAUAGUUGGUGAGGUAACGGCUCACCAAGUCGAUGAUCUUUAGGGGGCCUGAGAGGGUGAUCCCCCACACUGGUACUGAGACACGGACCAGACUCCUACGGGAGGCAGCAGUGAGGAAUAUUGGACAAUGGGUUAGCGCCUGAUCCAGCCAUCCCGCGUGAAGGACGACGGCCCUAUGGGUUGUAAACUUCUUUUGUACAGGGAUAAUUUUAUUUACGUGUAAAUAGCUGAAGGUACUGUACGAAUAAGCACCGGCUAACUCCGUGCCAGCAGCCGCGGUAAUACGGAGGGUGCAAGCGUUAUCCGGAUUUAUUGGGUUUAAAGGGUCCGUAGGCGGAUCUGUAAGUCAGUGGUGAAAUCUCACAGCUUAACUGUGAAACUGCCAUUGAUACUGCAGGUCUUGAGUAAGGUAGAAGUGGCUGGAAUAAGUAGUGUAGCGGUGAAAUGCAUAGA